CUGGGAGUUGUCCCUUCUGCUCCAGUAAAGACCAAGCUCCAGCUCCAGCAAAGCCACCUUAAGGGCCUUUCCCUGCCUGGGGAGCAGCCGCUGACCCAGGACCCCUCUAACCAGUGCUCUGCACCCAGCACGUUCCCGUAGGAGGCACCCAGUGCUGUGGCUGGGCCACGGAGCUGUCCUGACGCUGACUGGCUCACACCCCAGGACUAGCAGCUUAAGACAUCACACUUGGACUCAUCCCCGUGCUGUGCAUCAAGGAGGGCGACAUGUAUCACACGGAGCAUGGUGGCACCAGAGCAGAGGCUGGGGGCUCUCCUUGUGUCCUCCACACAAGCAUGUUCACUGUGGAAGGCGUCCCUGGCUGGGCAGUGAAGGGCAGGAUGUCAGAGAGACUCUUGGGCCUGGGUUCAGUGGCUGGCACCUGAGGACCUUGACCAAACCAGAAGAGCUCAGAGCCAGAUGGAGCCUUGGCCAAGAGGAGCAGGAGGAGCAGUAGGGACGUCACAAGAGAUCUAAAAAAAAAAAAAAAAGGAAGAGGCUGGCCAAGUAAGAUCAGGCCUAGACAUUCUGGGUGGCCACACGAAGAUCAAAGGUGAUGCUAGCAGUUAGGGAAAGCAUUUAGGCAAGAGAACACAAAGGCAGGGGGGCAGGGGGUGCUGAGGGAGCGGAGGCAAAGGGUGAAAUUGGAGAAGCAGUACAGUGGGGGCUGCCCUCU